rnacentral:misc_RNA from 1 species
CCCCUCCUCCUCCUGUCCCAACCUACAAACCAAAACCAAAGCCACCGGUCUUCAAGCCUCCCCCUAUACCAAUCUAUAAGCCAAAACCAAAGUCACCUGUCUUCAAGCCUCCUCCUGUUCCCAUCUAUAAGCCAAAACCAAAGCCACCAGUAUUCAAGCCUCCUCCUGUUCCUAUCUAUAAGCCAAAACCAAAGCCACCAGUAUUCAAGCCUCCUCCUGUUCCUAUCUAUAAGCCAAAACCAAAGCCACCAGUAUUCAAGCCUCCUCCUGUUCCU